GAGUUUGAUCCUGGCUCAGGAGGNACGCUGGGGGCGUGCCUAAACAUGCAAGUCGAACGGAUAUGUAAUGAAACCUAGUGAUUUACAGGUUAGUGGCGGACGGGUGAGUAACGCGUGGAUAACCUGCCGUAUACCGGGGGAUAACACUUAGAAAUAGGUGCUAAUACCGCAUGAGCGCACAGCUCCGCCUGGAGCACUGUGAAUAACUCCGGUGGUAUGGGAUGGAUCCGCGUCUGAUUAGCUGGUUGGUGAGGGAACGGCCCACCAAGGCGACGAUCAGUAGCCCACCUGAGAGGGUGGCCGGCCACUUUGGGACUGAGACACGGCCCAUACUCCUACCGGAGGCACCAGUGGGGAAUAUUGCACAAUGGGGGAAACCCUGAUGCACCAACGCCGCGUGAGUGAAGAAGUAUUUCUGUAUGUAAAGCUCUAUCAACAGGGAAAAAGAAAGACUGUACCUGACUAACAAGCCCCGGCUAACUACCUGCCAGCAGCCGCGGUAAUACGUAGGGGGCAAGCGUUAUCCGGAUUUACUGGGUGUAAAGGGAGCGUACACGGCUGUGCAAGUCUGAAAUGAAAGCCCGUGGCUCAACCGCGGAUCUGCUUUGGAAACUGUGCGGCUCGAGUGCGGGAGAGGUACGUCGGAAUUCCUACUGUAUC
rnacentral:rRNA from 1 species